UUAGAGUAACUCUUUGUUAUUUGUAUCUGGUCACGUAGACAUAUGACUGCACAACUAAUUGAACCUACUGCUUUGUGCUGAUCUGGAAAUACCACUGAGAAGCGGGUGUCGACUGUUGGGGAGAUGCCAGUUCUUCUGCUUCUGAAACAUGCAGCAUAGUAUUUCGAAAGCUUCGCAAGUUUAAAUAAAAUAUACAGGAUGCUGGUUUCCCCAGGAUUAGCCAUGCUAUUUCUCCUGAGGUCUUCAAAUGCUGAAUUAUGUCCAGAAUUCUGCCUGUGUAAACCUGCUUCUCAGGGUAUGAUAAUUAACUGCAGCUCCAGAGGUCUACAAGAAUUACCAUUUAUUCCAGAAAAUACAACAGAGCUUUAUUUACACAACAACAUACUAACUACAGUUGCUCCAGGAGCCUUUGACAAAUUGCAGAAUCUGAAGGCCAUUAGCCUCCAUAACAACAUCUGGAACUGUGAUUGCCAUAUUGCAUACCUCAAACAGUGGCUGCAGAACCCACCAACAACAGUUCAAUCUAAUGUCACCUGUUCCACACCUAUUUCUGUUAGUAAGAAGCCUGUGGCAGAACUAAGAGGACAUGAAUAUUCAAAGUGUCAUUCCUAUAAUCAAUAUCAAUGCCGUGUUGUAUACUUCAAAAGCAUCGCUCUUUGUCUUCUCCUUCUGCUUCUCUUCCUUCUGAUGUUGUGCUCAUUCAUCAGUGUCAAAUCAAAAAUUUACAUGUUUAGUCCAAUUUUUGAACAUAAAGCAUCUGAUCCUUUAAUAGUGCAAAGAACGGCAACAAGAUGUGAACAGAAUAAGGGGAAUUGGGAGAUGUCAGAACUUUGAGUCUGGUAUUGAAUGGUCAAAUGAUGAGUUAAUAGAGAAACCUUUUGUCUGAGACAGUAUGGAAAUUUCGCAAGAUAUUAUGUAAACUGCAUGCAAAGCAUAACAUUAAAUUACACUGAAACAAUUGUUUUGA